rnacentral:rRNA from 1 species
GAUGAACGCUGGCGGCGUGCCUAAUACAUGCAAGUCGAGCGAAUGGAUUAAGAGCUUGCUCUUAUGAAGUUAGCGGCGGACGGGUGAGUAACACGUGGGUAACCUGCCCAUAAGACUGGGAUAACUCCGGGAAAUCGGGGCUAGUACCGGAUAACAUUUUGAACCGCAUGGUUCGAAAUUGAAAGGCGGCUUCGGCUGUCACUUAUGGAUGGACCCGCGUCGCAUUAGCUAGUUGGCGAGGUAACGGCUCACCAAGGCAACGAUGCGUAGCCGACCUGAGAGGGUGAUCGGCCACACUGGGACUGAGACACGGCCCAGACUCCUACGGGAGGCAGCAGUAGGGAAUCUUCCGCAAUGGACGAAAGUCUGACGGAGCAACGCCGCGUGAGUGAUGAAGGCUUUCGGGUCGUAAAACUCUGUUGUUAGGGAAGAACAAGUGCUAGUUGAAUAAGCUGGCACCUUGACGGUACCUAACCAGAAAGCCACGGCUAACUACGUGCCAGCCGCCGCCGUAA